rnacentral:misc_RNA from 1 species
GAACGCACAUUGCGCCCGCCAGUAUUCUGGCGGGCAUGCCUGUUCGAGCGUCAUUUCAACCAUCAAGCCCCCGGGCUUGCGUUGGGGCCCUGCGGCUGCCGCAGACCCCUAAAACCAGUGGCGGGCUCGCUGUCACACCGAGCGCAGUAGCAAUAUCUCGCUCUGGGCGUGGCGCGGGUGCUUGCCGUAAAACACACCACUUAACAAGGUUGACCUCGGAUCAGGUAGGAAUACCCGCUGAACUUAAG